rnacentral:rRNA from 1 species
GAGCGGCGGACGGGUGAGUAAUACUUAGGAAUCUACCUAGUAGUGGGGGAUAGCACGGGGAAACUCGUAUUAAUACCGCAUACGACCUACGGGAGAAAGGGGGCAGUUUACUGCUCUCGCUAUUAGAUGAGCCUAAGUCGGAUUAGCUAGAUGGUGGGGUAAAGGCCUACCAUGGCGACGAUCUGUAGCUGGUCUGAGAGGAUGAUCAGCCACACCGGGACUGAGACACGGCCCGGACUCCUACGGGAGGCAGCAGUGGGGAAUAUUGGACAAUGGGGGAAACCCUGAUCCAGCCAUGCCGCGUGUGUGAAGAAGGCCUUUUGGUUGUAAAGCACUUUAAGCAGUGAAGAAGACUCUUCGGUUAAUACCCGGAGACGAUGACAUUAGCUGCAGAAUAAGCACCGGCUAACUCUGUGCCAGCAGCCGCGGUAAUACAGAGGGUGCAAGCGUUAAUCGGAAUUACUGGGCGUAAAGGGAGCGUAGGUGGCUCGAUAAGUCAGAUGUGAAAUCCCCGGGCUCAACCUGGGAACUGCAUCUGAUACUGUUGAGCUAGAGUAUGUGAGAGGAAGGUAGAAUUCCAGGUGUAGCGGUGAAA